rnacentral:tRNA from 2 species
GCCCGCGUAUGCUAAUGGCGAAGCAGCUCGAUUGUCGAUCGAGUCGAUGGGGGUUCGACUCCCCUCGUGGGCG